rnacentral:rRNA from 1 species
UUUAUGGAGAGUUUGAUCCUGGCUCAGGAUGAACGCUGGCGGUGUGCCUAAUACAUGCAAGUCGAGCGAACGGA